rnacentral:rRNA from 1 species
AACGAACGCUGGCGGCAUGCCUAACACAUGCAAGUCGAACGAGACCUUCGGGUCUAGUGGCGCACGGGUGCGUAACGCGUGGGAAUCUGCCCUUUGCUUCGGAAUAACAGUUAGAAAUGACUGCUAAUACCGGAUGAUGUCUUCGGACCAAAGAUUUAUCGGCAAAGGAUGAGCCCGCGUAGGAUUAGGUAGUUGGUGGGGUAAAAGGCCUACCAAGCCGACGAUCCUUAGCUGGUCUGAGAGGAUGAUCAGCCACACUGGGACUGAGACACGGCCCAGACUCCUACGGGAGGCAGCAGUUGGGGAAUAUUGGACAAUGGGCGCAAGCCUGAUCCAGCAAUGCCGCGUGAGU